rnacentral:snoRNA from 1 species
UGCAGCCGUGUCAAAUUCGGUGCCUGUGCCCCCGUGGCCGGCACCGGCCCGGAAGGCUGCCACAGAAACAAUGUGGUCCAUGGGCCCUGGUCCCCUCUGCUGGGCCUCAGGGAUACAUUUGGCUACAGACACCA